UCCAGACUCCUACGGGAGGCAGCAGUGAGGAAUAUUGGUCAAUGGGCGAGAGCCUGAACCAGCCAAGUCGCGUGAGGGAGUACUGCCCUAUGGGUUGUAAACCUCUUUUGUCGGGGAGCAAAAGCCGGACGUGUCCGUCUGUGAGAGUACCCGAAGAAAAAGCAUCGGCUAACUCCGUGCCAGCAGCCGCGGUAAUGCGUAGGGAGCGAGCGUUGUCCGGAAUUACUGGGUGUAAAGGGAGCGUAGGCGGGACGGCAAGUCAGAUGUGAAAACUGAGGGCUCAACCUUCAGACUGCAUUUGAAACUGCUGUUCUUGGGUGAAGUAGAGGUAAGCGGAAUUCCUAGUGUAGCGGUGAAAUGCGUAGAUAUUAGGAGGAACAUCGGUGGCGAAGGCGGCUUACUGGGCUUUUACUGACGCUGAGGCUCGAAAGCGUGGGGAGCAAACAGGAUUAGAUACCCGUGUAC
rnacentral:rRNA from 1 species